rnacentral:rRNA from 1 species
UACGGAGGGGGCUAGCGUUGUUCGGAAUUACUGGGCGUAAAGCGCGCGUAGGCGGCUUUGCAAGUCGGGUGUGAAAUCCCCAGGCUUAACCUGGGAACUGCAUUCGAGACUGCAUUGCUAGAGUAUGGGAGAGGGAAGUGGAAUUUCAGGUGUAGCGGUGAAAUGCGUAGAUAUCUGAAGGAACAUCAGUGGCGAAAGCGACUUCCUGGACCAAUACUGACGCUCAUGUGCGAAAGCGUGGGGAGCGAACCGG